GUAUGGUUUUUGCCUAUUCAGCUGUUUAUAGCAUUCAUAUGCUUGAGAGAAGGUAUAUGCUUCUCCGAUUCGGUGAUUGUGGUGUCGGCCAGAGUGCUUGGAGUCCCCAGGAAACGCUAGGAGCAUCCUUUAACGGAGGUACCCAGUCGGGGUGCCAGGUGAUCCGUUACAGCAGUGUUUCCCAACCCAGUCUUCAAGGCACACCUAC